UGGGGAAUAUUGCACAAUGGGCGCAAGCCUGAUGCAGCCAUGCCGCGUGUGUGAAGAAGGCCUUCGGGUUGUAAAGCACUUUCAGCGGGGAGGAAGGCGGUGAGGUUAAUAACCUCAUCGAUUGACGUUACCCGCAGAAGAAGCACCGGCUAACUCCGUGCCAGCAGCCGCGGUAAUACGGAGGGUGCAAGCGUUAAUCGGAAUUACUGGGCGUAAAGCGCACGCAGGCGGUCUGUCAAGUCGGAUGUGAAAUCCCCGGGCUCAACCUGGGAACUGCAUUCGAAACUGGCAGGGUAGAGUCUUGUAGAGGGGGGUAGAAUUCCAGGUGUAGCGGUGAAAUGCGUAGAGAUCUGGAGGAAUACCGGUGGCGAAGGCGGACCCCUGGACAAAGACUGACGCUCAGGUGCGAAAGCGUGGGGAGCAAACAGG
rnacentral:rRNA from 1 species